UACGAAGGGGGCUAGCGUUGCUCGGAAUUACUGGGCGUAAAGGGAGCGUAGGCGGAUAGUUUAGUCAGAGGUGAAAGCCCAGGCUCAACCUUGGAAUUGCCUUUGAUACUGGCUAUCUUGAGUACGGAAGAGGUAUGUGGAACUCCGAGUGUAGAGGUGAAAUUCGUAGAUAUUCGGAAGAACACCAGUGGCGAAGGCGACAUACUGGUCCGUUACUGACGCUGAGGCUCGAAAGCGUGGGGAGCAAACAGG
rnacentral:rRNA from 1 species